UACGGGAGGCAGCAGUGGGGAAUCUUAGACAAUGGGCGAAAGCCUGAUGCAGCGAUGCCGCGUGAGGGAAGAAGGCCUUAGGGUUGUAAACCCCUUUCAGCAGGGAUGAAAAUGACAGUACCUGGUAAAGAAGCUCCGGCUAACUCCGUGCCAGCAGCCGCGGUAAU
rnacentral:rRNA from 1 species